AAAAUGCAAAAUGAUAUUGUUUUCUGAUAGAAGUUUGGUGCUCCCUAUGUGCUUGUUGAUAUGGCUGUGAGAAUCAUUUUUCUAUUCAUGAAAGCAAAAUAAAAAUGCAGUAGAUAAGUUUUGUGAAUACAAAGAGAAGUUAACAUUAUUCAAAAGAGGCAGUUCACUUCAUAUUUUUCGCGAGUUCAUUUAGUUUCUCGGAUAGCUUCACUUAAGAGAACACGUUAAGAACCAGUUAAAAAAAGAAGAAUGUGGAGUUAGCUUUUAUAUUUAUGAGAAUUUCAUUUGGUACAGCAGCGGGGUUCACUUUUUGUAGAUAAAAAGGUUCAAUUCAUGAUCUUGCAGGGAUCUGGUGUUUGAUUUUUCCCUUGCAUUGCAUGGAUAAAGAGGUGUCGGUUCUUCUUGUAUAUGUGUUCAGUAAUACAAAUAAAAAUAGACGCUGAUGCUUUCGAAUGGUAGGAAAGGACUAUUCUGCUGAUGGAUGGUUUGUAAACUGCUGCUUGCAGUGUAAUUCCUCUGAGCUGAUGCAGUGCUAUCUGCUAUGGGCUAUGUGUGUUAUGCUGAAAGUUCAUAUAUCUGUCGGAUUAGUGAACUACCGACUGCUCUUUCUCUUUCUCUUCACUGUCAACGGAGUUCACAUUUUGAAGUCACUAAAUUCACUACAACGCUGGCAAAGUUCACAUGUUUUAUCAUAGGAGCUCACUUCUUUGUGUCUAAAAAGUGAGCUCACUUCUACUAUGUGAACUUAUAUGCCUGUGUAUUUUUUUUCUCUAUCUUUUGUGGCACAAAAGAACCGAUCAUGUAGUUGUGCUAAACCCUUGCUAGUUCUGAACUUAUGAUGUUUCAUUUCAGAACUGCACCUAGUUCAGAGCUAAACUACUACGGUAAAGAAUUUGCCAGGCGCCAUCACACCGUCGCUGGAAUUCAGAAGCGCUACGGCAAGUUGGAAUUCAAAAUUGCCGCUGCGGGCGUCCACUGACGUCAAUCUCCUGGUGUCUUGUUAAUCGCUAGCUAUCAAUCACACAAAAAGCAAACUGUGAAGUUCAGUCUUGUGCUCUUCCGAAGAUCAGUCUAUGGUGUGCAUCAUGCCUCUGAAAUUCUUUAGUUCACAGGCGAAUCAGUCCAUCAUGUUGAAUCCCUCAAAAGACUACAGAGAGCUUACCAUCCUGGCGCAAAAAAUGCUAAGGUGCACAUGGUAGAAGUUCACAUCAACUAUAUUGUGAAGCUCGCCUCUUCUUUCCCGUGAAUUCGCCUCGUCAAUUAUUUUGUC